UACGUAGGGUGCAAGCGUUGUCCGGAAUUAUUGGGCGUAAAGAGCUCGUAGGCGGUUUGUCGCGUCUGCUGUGAAAACCCGCGGCUUAACCGCGGGCUUGCAGUUGAUACGGGCAGGCUAGAGUUCGGUAGGGGGAGACUGGAAUUCCUGGUGUAGCGGUGAAAAUGCGCAGAUAUCAGGAGGAACACCGGUGGCGAAGGCGGGUCUCUGGGCCAUUACUGACGCUGAGGAGCGAAAGCGUGGGGAGCGAACAGG
rnacentral:rRNA from 1 species